rnacentral:rRNA from 1 species
UACAGAGGGUGCAAGCGUUAAUCGGAAUUACUGGGCGUAAAGGGCGCGCAGGCGGUCUUGAAAGUCAGGCGUGAAAGCCCCGGGCUUAACCUGGGAAUUGCGCUUGAUACUCUGAGACUGGAGUACGGGAGAGGAGAGUGGAAUUCCCAGUGUAGAGGUGAAAUUCGUAGAUAUUGGGAAGAACACCAGUGGCGAAGGCGGCUCUCUGGACCGUAACUGACGCUGAGGCGCGAAAGCGUGGGGAGCAAACAGG